rnacentral:rRNA from 1 species
GUGGGGAAUAUUGCACAAUGGGGGAAACCCUGAUGCAGCCAUGCCGCGUGUGUGAAGAAGGCCUUCGGGUUGUAAAGCACUUUCAGUGGGGAGGAAGGGCUGAUGACUAAUAUUCAUCAGUAUUGACGUUACCCACAGAAGAAGCACCGGCUAACUCCGUGCCAGCAGCCGCGGUAAUACGGAGGGUGCAAGCGUUAAUCGGAAUAACUGGGCGUAAAGCGCACGCAGGCGGUCAGAUAAGUCAGAUGUGAAAGCCCCGGGCUCAACCUGGGAACUGCAUUUGAAACUGUCUGACUAGAGUCGUGUAGAGGGGGGUAGAAUUCCAGGUGUAGCGGUGAAAUGCGUAGAGAUCUGGAGGAAUACCGGUGGCGAAGGCGGCCCCCUGGACAAAGACUGACGCUCAGGUGCGAAAGCGUGGGGAGCAAACAGGAUUAGAUACCCGUGUAGUCC